UGGGGAAUAUUGCACAAUGGGCGAAAGCCUGAUGCAGCGACGCCGCGUGAGGGAUGACGGCCUUCGGGUUGUAAACCUCUUUCAGCAGGGAAGCGGUACCUGCAGAAGAAGCGCCGGCUAACUACGUGCCAGCAGCCGCGGUAAUACGUAGGGCGCAAGCGUUGUCCGGAAUUAUUGGGCGUAAAGAGCUCGUAGGCGGCUUGUCACGUCGGGUGUGAAAGCCCGGGGCUUAACCCCGGGUCUGCAUUCGAUACGGGCUAGCUAGAGUGUGGUAGGGGAGAUCGGAAUUCCUGGUGUAGCGGUGAAAUGCGCAGAUAUCAGGAGGAACACCGGUGGCGAAGGCGGAUCUCUGGGCCAUUACUGACGCUGAGGAGCGAAAGCGUGGGGAGCGAACAGGAUUAGAUACCCGAGUAGU
rnacentral:rRNA from 1 species